rnacentral:rRNA from 1 species
UACAGACGGCGCAAGCGUUAUCCGGAAUGAUUGGGCGUAAAGCGUCUGUAGGUGGCUUUUUAAGUCCGCCGUCAAAUCCCAGGGCUCAACCCUGGACAGGCGGUGGAAACUACCAAGCUGGAGUACGGUAGGGGCAGAGGGAAUUUCCGGUGGAGCGGUGAAAUGCGUAGAGAUCGGAAGGAACACCAGUUGCGAAGGCGGCUACCUGGCCUGGUACUGACACUGAGGCACGAAAGCGUGGGGGAGCAAACAGGG